rnacentral:rRNA from 1 species
GAUGAACGCUGGCGGCGUGCCUAAUACAUGCAAGUCGAGCGAACGGACGAGAAGCUUGCUUCUCUGAUGUUAGCGGAGGACGGGUGAGUAACACGUGGAUAACCUACCUAUAAGACUGGGAUAACUUCGGGAAACCGGAGCUAAUACCGGAUAAUAUUUUGAACCGCAUGGUUCAAAAGUGAAAGACGGUCUUGCUGUCACUUAUAGAUGGAUCCGCGCUGCAUUAGCUAGUUGGUAAGGUAACGGCUUACCAAGGCAACGAUGCAUAGCCGACCUGAGAGGGUGAUCGGCCACACUGGAACUGAGACACGGUCCAGACUCCUACGGGAGGCAGCAGUAGGGAAUCUUCCGCAAUGGGCGAAAGCCUGACGGAGCAACGCCGCGUGAGUGAUGAAGGUCUUCGGAUCGUAAAACUCUGUUAUUAGGGAAGAACAUAUGUGUAAGUAACUGUGCACAUCUUGACGGUACCUAAUCAGAAAGCCACGGCUAACUACGUGCCAGCAGCCGCGGUAAUACGUAGGUGGCAAGCGUUAUCCGGAAUUAUUGGGCGUAAAGCGCGCGUAGGCGGUUUUUUAAGUCUGAUGUGAAAGCCCACGGCUCAACCGUGGAGGGUCAUUGGAAACUGGAAAACUUGAGUGCAGAAGAGGAAAGUGGAAUUCCAUGUGUAGCGGUGAAAUGCGCAGAGACAUGGAGGAACACCAGUGGCGAAGGCGACUUUCUGGUCUGUAACUGACGCUGAUGUGCGAAAGCGUGGGGAUCAAACAGGAUUAGAUACCCUGGUAGUCCACGCCGUAAACGAUGAGUGCUAAGUGUUAGGGGGUUUCCGCCCCUUAGUGCUGCAGCUAACGCAUUAAGCACUCCGCCUGGGGAGUACGACCGCAAGGUUGAAACUCAAAGGAAUUGACGGGGACCCGCACAAGCGGUGGAGUAUGUGGUUUAAUUCGAAGCAACGCGAAGAACCUUACCAAAUCUUGACAUCCUUUGACAACUCUAGAGAUAGAGCUUUCCCCUUCGGGGGACAAAGUGACAGGUGGUGCAUGGUUGUCGUCAGCUCGUGUCGUGAGAUGUUGGGUUAAGUCCCGCAACGAGCGCAACCCUUAAGCUUAGUUGCCAUCAUUAAGUUGGGCACUCUAAGUUGACUGCCGGUGACAAACCGGAGGAAGGUGGGGAUGACGUCAAAUCAUCAUGCCCCUUAUGAUUUGGGCUACACACGUGCUACAAUGGACAAUACAAAGGGCAGCGAAACCGCGAGGUCAAGCAAAUCCCAUAAAGUUGUUCUCAGUUCGGAUUGUAGUCUGCAACUCGACUACAUGAAGCUGGAAUCGCUAGUAAUCGUAGAUCAGCAUGCUACGGUGAAUACGUUCCCGGGUCU